rnacentral:lncRNA from 1 species
GCAAGCAAGGCCAGUCGAAUGGAUCGAAUCGAUCGAUUCGAUCGAAUGGACACCAAUUAAUUCCAUUCGACAACCCACAGUCAAAUGGUGGGUAACUCCAGGGGCAUUAAUUCCAUUCGACAACCCACAGUCAAAUGGUGGUUAACCCCAUGGGCAUUAAGCAUCCAAGGAAGGCCAGUCGAAUGGAUCGAAUCGAUCGAUUCGAUCGAAUGGACACCAAUUAAUUCC